CCCAUUAAAUCAGUUAUAGUUUAUUUGAUGGUCUCUUUGUUCUUCUUUUUACCUACUUAGGUAACCGUGGUAAUUCUAGGGCUAAUACAUGCGCAAGGUCCCGAGCGCGGGGGGCAGGGCUUCACGGCCCUGUCCUCGCAUGCGCAGAGGGAUGUAUUUAUUAGGUUAAAAGCCAGCGGCAGGGGUCAGUAAUGGCCCCUGCCAAACACUCCUGGUGAUUCAUAGUAACUCUUUCGGAUCGCAUUCAUG
rnacentral:rRNA from 1 species